rnacentral:rRNA from 1 species
GAUGAACGCUGGCGGCGUGCCUAAUACAUGCAAGUCGAGCGAACAGACGAGGAGCUUGCUCCUCUGACGUUAGCGGCGGACGGGUGAGUAACACGUGGAUAACCUACCUAUAAGACUGUGAUAACUUCGGGAAACCGUAGCUAAUACCUGCUAAUAUAUUGAACCGCAUGGUUCAAUAGUGAAAGCCGGUUUUGCUGUCACUUAUAGAUGGAUCCGCGCCGGAUUAGCUAGUUGGUAGGGUAACGGCUUACCAAGGCGACGAUGCGUAGCCGACCGGAGAGGGUGAUCGGCCACACUGGAACUGAGACACGGUCCAGACUCCUACGGGAGGCAGCAGUAGGGAAUCUUCCGCAAAGGGCGAAAGCCUGACGGAGCAACGCCGCGUGAGUGAAGAAGGUCUUCGGAUCGUAAAACUCCGUUAUUAGGGAAGAACAAAUGUGUAAGUAACUAUGCACGUCUUGACGGUACCUAAUCAGAAAGCCACGGCUAACUACGUG